AUUGAACGCUGGCGGCAUGCCUUACACAUGCAAGUCGAACGGUAACAGGUCUUCGGAUGCUGACGAGUGGCGAACGGGUGAGUAAUACAUCGGAACGUGCCUAGUAGUGGGGGAUAACUACUCGAAAGAGUGGCUAAUACCGCAUGAGAUCUACGGAUGAAAGCAGGGGAUCGCAAGACCUUGUGCUACUAGAGCGGCCGAUGGCAGAUUAGGUAGUUGGUGGGAUAAAAGCUCACCAAGCCGACGAUCUGUAGCUGGUCUGAGAGGACGAUCAGCCAAACUGGGACUGAGACACGGCCCAGACUCCUACGGGAGGCAGCAGUGGGGAAUUUUGGACACUGGGCGCAAGCCUGAUCCAGCAAUGCCGCGUGCAGGAUGAAGGCCUUCGGGUUGUAAACUGCUUUUGUACGGAACGAAAAGCCCUGGGUUAAUACCCUGGGGUCAUGACGGUACCGUAAGAAUAAGCACCGGCUAACUACGUGCCAGCCGCCGCCGUAA
rnacentral:rRNA from 1 species